ACGCACGCUGGCGGCGUGCUUAACACAUGCCAGUCGAACGGUAAGGCCCUUUCGGGGGUACACGAGUGGCGAACGGGUGAGUAACACGUGGGUGAUCUGCCCUGCACUUUGGGAUAAGCCUGGGAAACUGGGUCUAAUACCGGAUAGGACUACGCGAUGCAUGUCGUGUGGUGGAAAGCUUUUGCGGUGUGGGAUGGGCCCGCGGCCUAUCAGCUUGUUGGUGGGGUGAUGGCCUACCAAGGCGACGACGGGUAGCCGGCCUGAGAGGGUGUCCGGCCACACUGGGACUGAGAUACGGCCCAGACUCCUACGGGAGGCAGCAGUGGGGAAUAUUGCACAAUGGGCGCAAGCCUGAUGCAGCGACGCCGCGUGGGGGAUGACGGCCUUCGGGUUGUAAACCCCUUUCAGCACAGACGAAGCGUAAGUGACGGUAUGUGCAGAAGAAGCACCGGCCAACUACGUG
rnacentral:rRNA from 1 species